rnacentral:piRNA from 1 species
UAAAACACGGAAUCAGUAGUA